GACGAACGCUGGCGGCGUGCUUAACACAUGCAAGUCGAACGGAAAGGCCCUGCUUUUGUGGGGUGCUCGAGUGGCGAACGGGUGAGUAACACGUGAGUAACCUGCCCUUGACUUUGGGAUAACUUCAGGAAACUGGGGCUAAUACCGGAUAGGAGCUCCUGCUUCAUGGUGGGGGUUGGAAAGUUUCGGCGGUUGGGGAUGGACUCGCGGCUUAUCAGCUUGUUGGUGGGGUAGUGGCUUACCAAGGCUUUGACGGGUAGCCGGCCUGAGAGGGUGACCGGCCACAUUGGGCCUGAGAUACGGCCCAGGCUCCUACGGGAGGCAGCAGUGGGGAAUAGUGCACAGUGGGCGGAAGCCUGAUGCAGCAACUCCGCGUGCGGGAUGACGGCCUUCGAGUUGUAAACCGCUUUCGCCUGUGACGAAGCGUGAGUGACGGUAAUGGGUAAAGAAGCACCGGCUAACUACGUG
rnacentral:rRNA from 1 species